CUGGAUGAAUUGUGUGACACGAAUGCAUCGAAACUCAAGAUAUAUAUUCGUUCCGAUGAAGUCUAUUCACCUGAAUGCAUCGAUGAUGAUUAAUGCAAUGUAGCCGCAAACUUUGCACUUGUUUAUGUUUUUCUAUAGUAGUUCUGUAGCUGACGUUUUAUAAUAAUUUGUAUAUUUUUACUUGAUCAACGUGAAUGCAAAUGGUUCUAAACCUUCUUCAUAUAUUGCUUAAAGCCUUGCUUUUUAUACUUGCCGAUCACGAAUAUGCAUUUUUAUGCAAUGUUAUCUGCCUAUAAGUUCAACAUUUAUAAUUCCAAAGCAAAUAUUCAACUCACUGUGAUUUCCUAUUUUGUGAUUUUUCUAAUUGUGUUUAGUUUAUAAGAUUUAGUAAUUUUGGCUUUGUAGUUUUUUAUCGUGUUCUAUAUACUUGUCUAACUUUUCCAAUAUGCAUACUCCGGGUUUAUUAAUUAUCUGUAUUAUUUGUAAAUUUGUUUGUUCCGCACCUGUUCGUGUUGCAAGCCAUAUGAUUGUGCCGGUUUCGACAACUUGUGUAUAUUGUUGUAAAAGUAGAGUGAGAGUUAGUCACAUAUUUGGUUACACAGAGUUAGUCACAUAACCAAGUUAUGCAAUAAAAAAAUACAAGUUACCUAUAUUA